UACGUAGGGGGCAAGCGUUGUCCGGAUUUAUUGGGCGUAAAGAGCGUGUAGGCGGCCAGACAGGUCCGUUGUGAAAACUGGAGGCUCAACCUCCAGACGUCGAUGGAAACCGUCUGGCUAGAGUCCGGAAGAGGAGAGUGGAAUUCCUGGUGUAGCGGUGAAAUGCGCAGAUAUCAGGAAGAACACCCGUGGCGAAAGCGGCUCUCUGGGACGGUACUGACGCUGAAACGCGAAAGCGUGGGGAGCGAACAGG
rnacentral:rRNA from 1 species